GUGCCAGCAGCCGCGGUAAAACGUAGGAGGCGAGCGUUAUCCGGAUUUACUGGGCGUAAAGCGCGUGUAGGCGGCACGAUAAGUUGGAUGUGAAAGCUCCCGGCUAAACUGGGAGAGGACGUUCAAUACUGUCGAGCUUGAGGAUGGGAGAGGGAGGUGGAAUUCCGGGUGUAGUGGUGAAAUGCGUAGAUAUCCGGAGGAACACCAGUGGCGAAGGCGGCCUCCUGGCCCAUUUCUGACGCUCAGACGCGAAAGCUAGGGUAGCAAACGGGAUUAGAAACCCCCGUAGUCC
rnacentral:rRNA from 1 species